rnacentral:rRNA from 1 species
AGAGUUUGAUCCUGGCUCAGGAUGAACGCUGGCGGUAUGCUUUACACAUGCAAGUCGUACGAAAGUUUUUAACUUUAGUGGCGGACGGGUGAGUAACACGUGAGAAUUUACCUUUAGGAGGGGAAUAACAGUUGGAAACGACUGCUAAUGCCGCAUAUAAUUAGUAAUAAUGAAAGAAGUAAUUCGCCUAAAGAAAAGCUUGCGUCUGAUUAGCUAGUUGGUAAGGGUAAUGGCCUACCAAGGCGACGAUCAGUAGCUGGUUUGAGAGGAUGAUCAGCCACACUGGAACUGAGACACGGUCCAGACUCCUACGGGAGGCAGCAGUGGGGAAUAUUGGACAAUGGGGGCAACCCUGAUCCAGCCAUGCCGCGUGUGUGAAGAAGGCCUUUUGGUUGUAAAGCACUUUAAGCAGGGAGGAGAGGCUAAUGGUUAAUACCCAUUAGAUUAGACGUUACCUGCAGAAUAAGCACCGGCUAACUCUGUGCCAGCAGCCGCGGUAAUACAGAGGGUGCGAGCGUUAAUCGGAAUUACUGGGCGUAAAGCGAGUGUAGGUGGCUCAUUAAGUCACAUGUGAAAUCCCCGGGCUUAACCUGGGAACUGCAUGUGAUACUGGUGGUGCUAGAAUAUGUGAGAGGGAAGUAGAAUUCCAGGUGUAGCGGUGAAAUGCGUAGAGAUCUGGAGGAAUACCGAUGGCGAAGGCAGCUUCCUGGCAUAAUAUUGACACUGAGAUUCGAAAGCGUGGGUAGCAAACAGGAUUAGAUACCCUGGUAGUCCACGCCGUAAACGAUGUCUACUAGCCGUUGGGGUCCUUGAGACUUUAGUGGCGCAGUUAACGCGAUAAGUAGACCGCCUGGGGAGUACGGCCGCAAGGUUAAAACUCAAAUGAAUUGACG